rnacentral:ncRNA from 1 species
CCUUUGGAGUGUUAUAUCAAACGAAAGUAGCUGUGUUAUAUUUGCUAAAUCGGACACGUCGAAAAAGGAA